rnacentral:rRNA from 1 species
UACGGAGGGUGCAAGCGUUAUCCGGAUUCACUGGGUUUAAAGGGUGCGUAGGUGGGUCUGUAAGUCCGUGGUGAAAUCUCCAAGCUUAACUUGGAAACUGCCGUGGAUACUAUAGGUCUUGAAUACCGUGGAGGUGAGCGGAAUAUGUCAUGUAGCGGUGAAAUGCUUAGAUAUGACAUAGAACACCAAUUGCGAAGGCAGCUCACUACACGAUUAUUGACACUGAGGCACGAAAGCGUGGGGAUCAAACAGGAUUAGAUACCCCCGUAGUCC